CCUACGGGUGGCAGCAGUGAGGAAUAUUGGUCAAUGAGCGGGAGCCUGAACCAGCCAAGUCGCGUGAGGGAAGACGGUCCUAUGGAUUGUAAACCUCUUUAGGCGGGGAGAACAGCCGGACACGUGUGCCCGGAGGGAGAGUACCCGCAGAAUAAGCAUCGGCUAACUACGUGCCAGCAGCCGCGGUAAUACGGAGGAUGCGAGCGUUAUCCGGAUUUAUUGGGUGAAAAGGGUGCGUAGGCGGUUUUUUAAGUCAGCGGUAAAAUGUCCGGGCUCAACCCGGGCCGGCCGUUGAAACUGGGGAUCUUGAGUGGGCGAGAAGUAUGCGGAAUGCGUGGUGUAGCGGUGAAAUGCAUAGAUAUCACGAAGAACUCCGAUUGCGAAGGCAGCAUACCGGCGCCCGACUGACGCUGAGGCACGAAAGCGUGGGGAUCGAACAGGAUUAGAUACCCGUGUAGUC
rnacentral:rRNA from 1 species